rnacentral:lncRNA from 1 species
AUAUGUUAUAAGAGGGGGGUUAUGGUUCCCAUAAGAAUGCAAGACAUUCUCUUCUUCCUCCCAUUGAAACUAGAGAGCAUUUUGGUCUUGCAUAUCUAGUGGAACCAACCCUCAAUUUUGGUCUUGGAUAUAUUCUUGUGAAAGCAAAAACUUCAAGACAAUCUUAAAGGAAGGAUCAAGGAGCUUCUCAAAGGCACAC